rnacentral:rRNA from 1 species
AACGAACGCUGGCGGCGUGCCUAAUACAUGCAAGUUGAGCGCUGAAGGUUGGUACUUGUACCAACUGGAUGAGCAGCGAACGGGUGAGUAACGCGUGGGGAAUCUGCCUUUGAGCGGGGGACAACAUUUGGAAACGAAUGCUAAUACCGCAUAAAAACUUUAAACACAAGUUUUAAGUUUGAAAGAUGCAAUUGCAUCACUCAAAGAUGAUCCCGCGUUGUAUUAGCUAGUUGGUGAGGUAAAGGCUCACCAAGGCGAUGAUACAUAGCCGACCUGAGAGGGUGAUCGGCCACAUUGGGACUGAGACACGGCCCAAACUCCUACGGGAGGCAGCAGUAGGGAAUCCUCGGCAAUAGACGAAAGUCUGACCGAGCAACGCCGCGUGAGGGAAGAAGGUUUUCGGAUCGUAAAACUCUGUUGGUAGAGAAGAACGUUGGUGAGAGUGGAAAGCUCAUCAAGUGACGGUAACUACCCAGAAAGGGACGGCUAACUACGUG